rnacentral:rRNA from 1 species
GACGAACGCUGGCGGCAUGCCUAACACAUGCAAGUCGAACGAGACCUUCGGGUCUAGUGGCGCACGGGUGCGUAACGCGUGGGAACCUGCCCUUAGGUUCGGAAUAACCCCCCGAAAGGGGUGCUAAUACCGGAUAAUGUCUUCGGACCAAAGAUUUAUCGCCUUUGGAUGGGCCCGCGUUGGAUUAGCUAGUUGGUAGGGUAAAAGCCUACCAAGGCGACGAUCCAUAGCUGGUCUGAGAGGAUGAUCAGCCACACUGGGACUGAGACACGGCCCAGACUCCUACGGGAGGCAGCAGUGGGGAAUAUUGGACAAUGGGCGAAAGCCUGAUCCAGCAAUGCCGCGUGAGUGAUGAAGGCCUUAGGGUUGUAAAGCUCUUUUACCCGGGAUGAUAAUGACAGUACCGGGAGAAUAAGCUCCGGCUAACUCCGUG